CUGGCCAUAUUCUAUGAGUGUCUGAUUAUGAGCUCUGAUAUCAGACCACCCCAAGAACUUAGAAAAAAAUCCACAUAAGGCAUGAAGUUGAGCUCCAAGUUCUACAAGAGUGUUGUAAAGGCAUCUGUAGGAAAACGAAUGGCAACAAAACAGACCAAACAACUUUGAAACCAAGGUGUGCUAACCAUUCCUGUGAGAGGAACCAGGGAAAACAAAAAAAGGAGAGAUGUUAUACUCAGUCAAUUCUACCAGAGAAUAAUCAAGGAACCAAAACUCCCCACUAAUUCUAUAUAAUCAACUAUUCUCAUGCACUGGGACUCU